GAAUGAGAAAGUAGCAAACGCACAAGUCUUGUAUUUCUAAUCUUUUUCUUUUGCAAGAAAAAGGGCCGUAAAAACAGACGGAUAAUAAGUUAUUCAUAGGCCUAGGUUCGUUUAGCCGGGCUUUAGCUGAUUUCCCACUAACAUUUCCAAUUAAAGUUUUGAUUAUAAAACUAAAACUCUAUAUAAAUUAAUAGUAUCAAUAAU
rnacentral:lncRNA from 1 species